AAAAACAUGUCUCUUUGUAAGUUGUAGAUAAAGAGUCGGGCCUGCUCGGUGAAUAAAUUGUUUUAACAGCUGCGGUAUUUUAACUGUACUAAGGUAGCAUAAUAAUUUGCCUUAUAAUUUGAGGCUAGAAUGAAUGGUUUGACGAAGGUUAAUCUGUCUCUAUCCUAUUUUUUAGAAUUUAAUUUUUAAAGUGAAAAAGCUUGAAUUUUUUAAAGGGACGAGAAGACCCUAUUGAGCUUGUAAUUUUAUUACUAUCAUGUAUUUAAUAUAUAAAGUAGUAUAUAAAUUUUAAUUGGGGUGAUUAAGGAAUAAAUAAUUAAAUUAAUAACUUCCUUAGGUUUAAUAUUGUUAGAUAAAGUAACCAAUAUUAUUGCUUAUAUUAUAGUUACCAUAGGGAUAACAGCGUAAUUUGUUUAGAGAGUUCUUAUUGAAAAAUGAGAUUGCGACCUCGAUGUUGGAUUAAAGUAACCUUAAGGUGCAGAAGCUUUAGAAGGUAAAUCUGUUCGAUUUUUAAAACUUUACAUGAUCUGA
rnacentral:rRNA from 1 species